rnacentral:rRNA from 1 species
GCGAUCUUAAGCAAAUCCCAAAAAAGGACGCCCCAGUUCGGAUUGCAGCCUGCAACUCGGCUGCAUGAAGCUGGAAUCGCUAGUAAUCGCGGAUCAGAAUGCCGCGGUGAAUACGUUCCCGGGUCUUGUACACACCGCCCGUCACACCAUGGGAGCCGGAAACGCCCAAAGACAGCGGCCUAACCGCAAGGAGGGAACUGUCUAAGGCGGGCCUGGUGACCGGGGUGAAGUCGUAACAAGGUAUC